rnacentral:rRNA from 1 species
GAUGAACGCUGGCGGCGUGCCUAAUACAUGCAAGUCGAGCGAACGGACGAGAAGCUUGCUUCUCUGAUGUUAGCGGCGGACGGGUGAGUAACACGUGGAUAACCUACCUAUAAGACUGGGAUAACUUCGGGAAACCGGAGCUAAUACCGGAUAAUAUUUUGAACCGCAUGGUUCAAAAGUGAAAGACGGUCUUGCUGUCACUUAUAGAUGGAUCCGCGCUGCAUUAGCUAGUUGGUAAGGUAACGGCUUACCAAGGCAACGAUGCAUAGCCGACCUGAGAGGGUGAUCGGCCACACUGGAACUGAGACACGGUCCAGACUCCUACGGGAGGCAGCAGUAGGGAAUCUUCCGCAAUGGGCGAAAGCCUGACGGAGCAACGCCGCGUGAGUGAUGAAGGUCUUCGGAUCGUAAAACUCUGUUAUUAGGGAAGAACAUAUGUGUAAGUAACUGUGCACAUCUUGACGGUACCUAAUCAGAAAGCCACGGCUAACUACGUGCCAGCAGCCGCGGUAAUACGUAGGUGGCAAGCGUUAUCCGGAAUUAUUGGGCGUAAAGCGCGCGUAGGCGGUUUUUUAAGUCUGAUGUGAAAGCCCACGGCUCAACCGUGGAGGGUCAUUGGAAACUGGAAAACUUGAGUGCAGAAGAGGAAAGUGGAAUUCCAUGUGUAGCGGUGAAAUGCGCAGAGAUGUGGAGGAACACCAGUGGCGAAGGCGACUUUCUGGUCUGUAACUGACGCUGAUGUGCGAAAGCGUGGGGAUCAAACAGGAUUAGAUACCCUGGUAGUCCACGCCGUAAACGAUGAGUGCUAAGUGUUAGGGGGUUUCCGCCCCUUAGUGCUGCAGCUAACGCAUUAAGCACUCCGCCUGGGGAGUACGACCGCAAGGUUGAAACUCAAAGGAAUUGACGGGGGCCCGCACAAGCGGUGGAGCAUGUGGUUUAAUUCGAAGCAACGCGAAGAACCUUACCAAAUCUUGACAUCCUUUGACAACUCUAGAGAUAGAGCCUUCCCCUUCGGGGGACAAAGUGACAGGUGGUGCAUGGUUGUCGUCAGCUCGUGUCGUGAGAUGUUGGGUUAAGUCCCGCAACGAGCGCAACCCUUAAGCUUAGUUGCCAUCAUUAAGUUGGGCACUCUAAGUUGACUGCCGGUGACAAACCGGAGGAAGGUGGGGAUGACGUCAAAUCAUCAUGCCCCUUAUGAUUUGGGCUACACACGUGCUACAAUGGACAAUACAAAGGGCAGCGAAACCGCGAGGUCAAGCAAAUCCCAUAAAGUUGUUCUCAGUUCGGAUUGUAGUCUGCAACUCGACUACAUGAAGCUGGAAUCGCUAGUAAUCGUAGAUCAGCAUGCUACGGUGAAUACGUUCCCGGGUCU